CUUCAACUUUCUUGUUUAUUUUAGAUCCCAGGGACGCCCCCACAGGUAGACGAAGAGGGUCCAGAGAAAGGUGGGGAUUCCCUAACCCCUUCUUUCUUGGCCCAGACAGGCAGAGAACACCUCUUUUCUCACCCCUGGGCAGCCCCAGGAAGUCAAUCCUUCCACUGUUCCUGCUCCGUGCCUCUCUUCCCUCUGCCCAGAUUCCUGGGAGACUCAAAACCCUGUUCAACUCUCUCUGGGCUAGCUGCUCCCCUCCCCAAGAGGAUUUCUCUCCAGAGCUGGUAUCAUCGCUUAAUGAUGUUCCACCAACAAGGGGAAGCAAAAUCUUACAUCCAGAUGAAGUGUGUCCUGUCCUCUGAGCAUCUUUUUGCUGCAUCUUUGCAAGGAAGAUUGUAAAUGUCGGUGUGAACGUAGAAAGAAGUGUCUGAAACAGCAGAACAGACUGGGACAGGGAGAGGCUGGCAAGAAGGAAUCAUUUGGUAUUAAGCCCCUGCUAAACAUCAAGCUUCUCAUGAAGAAAUGAGGUCAGCACACAAAGGGAAUGCCCCUUGGAGAAACUCACCACUCCAUUUGGAGCUAACUGGACCAAUUCUUGACCAGUGAAAAGAUAAAUCCAGUGUAAGGUGCAAGCACCUGCUUUUAACAUGAUGCCAUUGCGAUUUUAGCUGCUGCUCACAGGUUCCCAAGACAUGAAUCUACAGAUGAUCCGUUUUCCCAGAUCCAGAGCUGAACCCUAAUGAAGCCACACAUCUCACCUCACGGUGGUGCAGUUCUGUGGGGAGGCUGUCUCUGCAGGAUGGAACCCCUUCCCUCUCAAGAGGGUCACUUGCAAAACAAAACUGACUCUGAGAAAAGAAAGUCUUCAGUAUUUUGAAUCCAUUGAUACACAGCUGGAGAUGUCAUCCUUGUCCCACAAAGCUGUUCUGUCUGAUGUAAAGCCAUGUUCAGGUUUAUGCCCAAGGUGAACAGAAGACGGGCCUGGUGCAGUGGCUCCUGCCUGUAAUCCCAGCACUGUGGGAGGCCCAUGUGGGAAGAUGCUUACGAUGUUCAAGACCAGCUUGGGCACCAUUGUGAGAUCCUGUUUCUACAGAAAAAUAAAAAAAGUAAAAAUUA